rnacentral:rRNA from 1 species
CCUACGGGAGGCAGCAGUGGGGAAUAUUGCACAAUGGGCGCAAGCCUGAUGCAGCCAUGCCGCGUGUGUGAAGAAGGCCUUCGGGUUGUAAAGCACUUUCAGCGGGGAGGAAGGCGGUGAGGUUAAUAACCUCAUCGAUUGACGUUACCCGCAGAAGAAGCACCGGCUAACUCCGUGCCAGCAGCCGCGGUAAUACGGAGGGUGCAAGCGUUAAUCGGAAUUACUGGGCGUAAAGCGCACGCAGGCGGUCUGUCAAGUCGGAUGUGAAGUCCCCGGGCUCAACCUGGGAACUGCAUUCGAAACUGGCAGGCUAGAGUCUUGUAGAGGGGGGUAGAAUUCCAGGUGUAGCGGUGAAAUGCGUAGAGAUCUGGAGGAAUACCGGUGGCGAAGGCGGCCCCCUGGACAAAGACUGACGCUCAGGUGCGAAAGCGUGGGGAGCAAACAGGAUUAGAUACCCGUGUAGUC